rnacentral:rRNA from 1 species
GACGAACGCUGGCGGCAGGCUUAACACAUGCAAGUCGAACGCAUCCUUCGGGGUGAGUGGCAGACGGGUGAGUAACGCGUGGGAACGUGCCCUUCAGUUCGGGAUAACCCAGGGAAACUUGGGCUAAUACCGGAUACGUGCGAGAGCAGAAAGAUUUAUCGCUGAAGGAUCGGCCCGCGUCUGAUUAGCUAGUUGGUGGGGUAAUGGCCCACCAAGGCGACGAUCAGUAGCUGGUCUGAGAGGAUGAUCAGCCACAUUGGGACUGAGACACGGCCCAAACUCCUACGGGAGGCUGCAGUGGGGAAUAUUGGACAAUGGGCGCAAGCCUGAUCCAGCCAUGCCGCGUGAGUGAUGAAGGCCUUAGGGUUGUAAAGCUCUUUCGUCCGGGACGAUAAUAACGGUACCGGAAGAAGAAGCCCCGGCUAACUUCGUGCCAGCCGCCGCCGUAA